rnacentral:ribozyme from 14 species
CCGGCCAGAAUACUCACAGCACAUUAUUUGACAGUCCAGGAAUGCUAUAGAAGAGAUCAGCAAAAAAUUAAACACAGACAGAUGUAUAUGUUGCUCAUCAAAAAUUGAAAUGUGUUUUUCUUUCUUCUUCUUCUUCUUUUUCUUUCUAC